GCUCUACCUCACCAAUGCACUGCAAACCAGAGCAGAGCGUACAAAAUUUUUCUAAGGACUGCCAAGUACAAGUGAUGUAAUUGCCUGAUGGUGGUGAUAUUUGCAAGACCUUUGGAGAGUUCAGAAUUAGCUUCUUUACAGGUGAAGGCUGUGAGAGAACUCAUGAUAUUUCUGCAGUGGACUCCACAAGCUGUACUGGGAGGCUCUCCAGAGGAAGCUGCCACUCCCACUAUGCCCAGAGCAGAUGCCCAGCAGCCCCACAAGGGUGGAGGCACUGAUGCCACGGAACAGCACCGAGCUGCUCCCUGGCACCGGGGCACAGGGAUACACCCUGGAAUGUGUCACACAUCAGCUGGGUCACACGUGGAGCCCCGGUGUCACUACUGUGGCCACUCUCCUCCCAGACACUGCAAGUUCAGGCUGCCUUCUGCCAGCAGAGGUACUGAAGUGAGAGUGUGAGGAAGAAAAGCUGAUGUAAUGUCUUCCAGGAAAGUGAUGAAAGAAAGAGGAAAUAAAUGUUUGGAAUUUUGUCCUCUUUUUGUCUCA
rnacentral:lncRNA from 1 species